UACGGGGGGGGCGAGCGUUGUUCGGAAUUACUGGGCGUAAAGGGUUUGUAGGUGGCCUGCUAAGUCAGACGUGAAAUCCCUCAGCUUAACUGGGGAACUGCGUCUGAUACUGGCGGGCUCGAGUCAGCUAGAGGUACACGGAACUUCCAGUGGAGCGGUGAAAUGUGUUGAUAUUGGAAGGAACACCGGAGGCGAAAGCGGUGUACUGGGGCUGGUCUGACGCUGAGGCACGAAAGCCAGGGAGCGAACGGG
rnacentral:rRNA from 1 species